rnacentral:misc_RNA from 1 species
GUAAAUUAUGAAAAUUGUAUUUGUGAAUGGAAAAGUAAAUGGUUAUUUAUGAUUUAUAUGUGAUCAUCACAUGUGAUGGAUGAUUGAGAACUGGAAUUGAAAUGUUGUUGAGAUCUUAAUAUUGAUGAGAUUUUGUUGAUAAAUUGAAGUUGGGAUUGUUUGGAAAUUAUUUGGAAGUGUUUUUAACAGGUUCCGAAGAACUGUUUUCU